GACGAACGCUGGCGGCGUGCCUAAUACAUGCAAGUAGAACGCUGAAGGAGGAGCUUGCUCUUCUGGAUGAGUUGCGAACGGGUGAGUAACGCGUAGGUAACCUGCCUGGUAGCGGGGGAUAACUAUUGGAAACGAUAGCUAAUACCGCAUAAUAUUGAUUAUUGCAUGAUAGUCAAUUAAAAGGUGCAAUUGCAUCACUACCAGAUGGACCUGCGUUGUAUUAGCUAGUUGGUGAGGUAACGGCUCACCAAGGCAACGAUACAUAGCCGACCUGAGAGGGUGAUCGGCCACACUGGGACUGAGACACGGCCCAGACUCCUACGGGAGGCAGCAGUAGGGAAUCUUCGGCAAUGGACGGAAGUCUGACCGAGCAACGCCGCGUGAGUGAAGAAGGUUUUCGGAUCGUAAAGCUCUGUUGUAAGAGAAGAACGAGUGUGAGAGUGGAAAGUUCACACUGUGACGGUAUCUUACCAGAAAGGGACGGCUAACUACGUGCCAGCAGCCGCGGUAAUACGUAGGUCCCGAGCGUUGUCCGGAUUUAUUGGGCGUAAAGCGAGCGCAGGCGGUUAGAUAAGUCUGAAGUUAAAGGCUGUGGCUUAACCAUAGUACGCUUUGGAAACUGUUUAACUUGAGUGCAAGAGGGGAGAGUGGAAUUCCAUGUGUAGCGGUGAAAUGCGUAGGUAUAUGGAGGAACACCGGUGGCGAAAACGGCUCUCUGGUCUGUAACUGACGCUGAGGCUCGAAAGCGUGGGGAGCAAACAGG
rnacentral:rRNA from 1 species